ACAUCAAUAAGCGGAGGAAGAGCUACUAACCAGSAUUCCCCCAGUAACGGCGAGCGAAGCGGGAAGAGCUCCAGGAGGGUAUCCCUGGGGUCGAUUGUCAGACAAUUGUGGCCGGUAGAGGCGGSUGUUCCCGAGGGGAUCCGUCCGAAGUGGACCUGGAAAGGCACGUCGGAGAAGGUGAUAACCCCGUGCAUGGGCGGGUCGCCGAGGGUCUCUGUCGUCUUUCGAGAGUCGGGUUGUUUGAGAUCGCAGCCCAAAGUGGGUGGGAAACUCYMUCUAAAGCCGAAUAGUGGCACCAGAACGAUURCGAACAAGUACCGUGAGGGAAAGGAGAAAAGCCCUUUUAAAAGAGAGUUAAAUAGGCCGCCAAAUCGUUAGGAAGGAAACGCAUGCAGCCGAACGGGCCCUCGSCGGGUUCACGGGUGGUCGGAGGGCGGUCGCCUCGGCCGGCACCCCACGGGGUUCCCGAGGCGGGUUGUGUAUCCGCAGCCCUGCACUCUCGGCGUUGCGGGCCGACCAAGGGCGGCGGUGCCGCGGGUGAAACGGGCGAUCGGGAGGUACCGCAGCCGGCUUCGGUCGGAGGCGAACUUACGAGCCGGUCGUUCCUGUAGCCCGCGGGCCGCCGAGGAGAGGGCGACUGGUCGUCCCCUCAGCGCAGGCCCUCAGGGGCCGGAGCGCUUCUGACCGUGCAGCGGUCGCUCCGCGAAGACUGUUCGCAGUGUCCGGCGGUGGCGUGCGCGUUCGGUCGGGAGGUCGUCUCACGUCAUGCCCUGCAGCAUCU
rnacentral:rRNA from 1 species